UUCUUAUCAAGAAAGGCAGAGGGAAAUGGCCCUGUGAAGCCUUAGCAACCAUCCGGAACCACCAAACCGGAAAGGUGCUACAUCCAGCCCGCAUAGCGGGAAAGAUAAGUC
rnacentral:ncRNA from 2 species